AGCAGCCGCGGUAAUUCCAGCUCCAAUAGCGUAUAUUAAAGUUGUUGCAGUUAAAAAGCUCGUAGUUGAAUUUCGGGAUCAAUAUGUCGGUCGUGCCUCUGGUACGUACUGGUAUCAUUGAUUUCUCCCUUCUGACGAACCAUGAUUUCAUUUAUUUGGUGUCAUGGGGAGUUAGGACUGUUACUUUGAAAAAAUUAGAGUGUUUAAAGCAGGCAUUAGCUUGAAUACAUUAGCAUGGAAUAAUGAAAUAGGACGUUUGACCCUAUUUUGUUGGUUUCUAGGAUCGACGUAAUGAUUAAUAGGGAUAGUUGGGGGCAUUAGUAUUCAAUUGUCAGAGGUGAAAUUCUUGGAUUUAUUGAAGACUAACUACUGCGAAAGCAUUUGCCAAGGAUGUUUUCAUUAAUCAAGAACGAAAGUUAGGGGAUCGAAGACGAUCAGAUACCGUCGUAGUCUUAACCAUAAACUAUGCCGACUAGGGAUCGGAUGAUGUCAAUUUUUUUAAUGACUCA
rnacentral:rRNA from 1 species